rnacentral:misc_RNA from 1 species
GAUGAAGAACGUAGCGAAAUGCGAUAAGUAAUGUGAAUUGCAGAAUUCAGUGAAUCAUCGAAUCUUUGAACGCACAUUGCGCCCGCCAGUAUUCUGGCGGGCAUGCCUGUCCGAGCGUCAUUUCAACCCUCGAACCCCUCCGGGGGGUCGGCGUUGGGGAUCGGCCCUUUACGGGGCCGGCCCCGAAAUACAGUGGCGGUCUCGCCGCAGCCUCUCCUGCGCAGUAGUUUGCACACUCGCAUCGGGAGCGCGGCGCGUCCACAGCCGUUAAACACCCCAAACUUCUGAAAUGUUGACCUCGGAUCAGGUAGGAAUACCCGCUUAACUUAAGCAUAUCAAUAAGCGGAGGA